AUGAUCCUGACCAAGUACGAGGUGCUGCGGCGCGCCGGGAGGCUCGUCGGCGAGGCGGCCCGCACCGGCAGGAUAAAGGCCGGCGGCGCCGUGGAGCUCGAGCUGGUGGUGGAGAAGGAGAACCUUGAGUAUGCGCCGGCGGAGGACAUGCUUGGGUACGGCGCGCGGUUCACGCAGUUCCUCCGGGGCUGCCCGCGCGCGUUCCGGGCGCUGACGAGGCUCGCCGUGGAGAACCUGUGGUUCAAGGACCCGGGCGCCGUGACGGACCUCGUCCGCCGCUGCCGCGCGCUGGAGCACCUCUCCCUGCGCUGCUGCGGCUUCGACGACCCAGUGGCGGAGAUGGCCGUGGACGCGCCGCCGGAGUCGCGGCUGAGGACGCUGCUGUGCCUCGAGUGCGACGUCCCCGGCGUCGCGCUCGUGCGGGCGCCGAGUCUCGUGGAGUUCCACUGCGGGUGGCGGCUGUUCCACGCGAACACGCCGCCGGCGUCGUUCGGGUGCACGCCGGCGCUGAAGAAGGUGACCCUGCAUUACCAGCCGUACCACAGGGAUGAUGCUCAUGUCGGGAGGAGGCUGAGCGAAUUUUUGCUUCUAGAGCCUGACCAGUUAGAGGUGCUCACGCUCUUGUUUGAUGAAGCUACCAAGAUUUGGGUGCGCCCAGAGAUGCCGAAGUACCUGCGGCCCGUGCUCGGCGGCCUGAAGGAGCUCCGCCUGGAGAAUGUCCACCCUGCCCGUGAUCUCUCCUGGGCGCUCUUUCUGCUGGGAGCUGCACGACACUUGGAGACACUUUACAUCGAGAUCUUCAACCACGUGUGCAGCCUCAGCUGGGACAUGAAGCUCGAUGAGGACAUGGAGCCGGAUGCGACAUGCCUACCACCGCCGGGGUUCAGGCACCGUCGCCUCAAGGAGGUGGUGAUCCGUCGUGCGUUCCAUGUGGCCAGGGACGCGUCGUUCGCGAGGACGGUGGUGGAGAUGGCCGUGAACCUGAAGAAGCUUACCCUGGGCGUGGAGGACCACGGGUGCGACGGGUGCACGGCCGUGGAAGCUAGGCGGCCAGCGCUGGCCAGGUCCAGGUUCAGGUUCCCUGGAGCUGGUAAGGACGUGGACGCGCUCGUCGAGAGAGUGAGAGGUGGCGUCACCACGUCUGCCCAGGUAGUCGUGCUCUGA
rnacentral:rRNA from 1 species